rnacentral:rRNA from 1 species
UACAGAGGGGGGCAAGCGUUGUUCGGAAUUACUGGGCGUAAAGGGCGCGUAGGCGGCCUUCUAAGUCGAACGUGAAAUCCCCGGGCUCAACCCGGGAACUGCGUCCGAUACUGGAAGGCUUGAAUCCGGGAGAGGGAUGCGGAAUUCCAGGUGUAGCGGUGAAAUGCGUAGAUAUCUGGAGGAACACCGGUGGCGAAGGCGGCAUCCUGGGAUAACACUGACGCUCAUGCACGAAAGCGUGGGGAGCAAACAGG